GUCAAAGCAGGGCACCUGGGUGGCUCAGUUGGUUGAGCACAGAACUCUUGAUUUUGGCUCAGGUCAUGCUCCCAGGGUUGUGGGAUUGAGCCCUGCAUUGGGCUCCCUGCUGAGGGCGGAGCCUGCUUGAGAUUCUCUGUCUCUCCCUCUGCCCUGUUCUCCCCCUCACCCCCACUUGCACAAACAAAUCAAUCCACCAACCGAUAAAUAAAUGCCAAAACAAAAAAGUGGUUACUUGUCUAAGCUAUUAAAUUACUUGAUGUGGUUUCAGCCUAGGUCUACCUGAUCUCAAAACUUGAAGACCUGUGGGGCAAUAGAUAUUCUAGGCUUAUUUAUAACAGCUCCAAGAACUAGGAAGUAAUGGAACCAUAUAAAGACAGAUAGAAGCCUCAGAAUGCCUGGGCUGAAACUGAGAAAUAAGUUGGAGGCAUAUGGCAACAGGACGAGGGCCAUGUGUAAAUUGCCUCACAAGCUUGUCAUAUAUGCUGUAGGCAAACUGGAACCUGCUUGCUGAGAGGUCUUUGAAGAGGAUUGUGAUCCGAGUUGUUAAAAUGUUAACACGUGGGGGCGCCUGGGUGGCUCAGUCGGUUAAGUGGCCAACUUUUUGGGAAAAAAAAAAAAAUGUCAACAUGUGGAAGAUAAAAUACUGGUAAAAAUCAACUCUCCUCAACACUCACAAAUCCCCCUUUUUUUGUCCUGUAAACAGGGCACUUAAAAGUGCCUUUUUUUAGACAGGCACCAUGCCCAAUGUGGGGCUUGAACUCACAACCCUGAGGUCAAGUCACAUGUCUACCAACUGAGCCAGCCAGGCACCCCCCUUCACUCUUCUUCACCCGACCAACUCCAAACAGCCUCCGGGUGUCCUGUGAACUCCAGGAUGAUGGGAACUCCACUGGAGAUGGUGCCAAGGCCAGCAUCAAAAAAGGACUUUUGCUGGAGCCCGAGCCAGCACAGGGGUAGCCAAGCUGGCCUGAGAAUGAAUCACAGCUGGAUGGAAGAACACCAGCAUUUCAAAACUCAGAUUCUAAUGAAUCCUGGGUUGUAGCCCAUCAGGGUCUCACUGUUUUGAGGAGGACGUUAAGUUUCUACCCAACAGCUGUAUCUGAGCAUUCCAGUAAGAUGAUAACAACUACAUUCCAAGCAUAAUACUGGGCUUCAUGCCCACUUGAUGCCAAGGUAGCAACCAACAGCUCAAAUCCAAAUCCUUUAUAAAUUUAGUCCCAGGGAGGGAAAAUAGAAAUAAAAUA